rnacentral:rRNA from 1 species
AAACUUUCAACAACGGAUCUCUUGGUUCUGGCAUCGAUGAAGAACGCAGCGAAAUGCGAUAAGUAAUGCUGAAUUGCAGAAUUCAGUGAAUCAUCGAAUCUUUGAACGCACAUUGCGCCCCCUGGUAUUCCGGGGGGCAUGCCUGUUCGAGCGUCAUU